GAACGUUGUAAGGGCAUACGGUGGAUACCUUGACUCUGCGAAGCGAUGAAGGACGCGGCACGGCAGCGAUAUGCCUCGGGUAGGUGCCAAGCAACCGUCGAUCCGGGGGUUUCCGAAUGGGGUAACCCGACAUGGUAAAGCCAUGUCACCAACUUCGGUUGGAGCGUAUCUCGGGAAGUGAAACAUCUCAGUACCGAGAAGAACAGAAACCAAGCCCGCUAAGCGGGCAGAUUCUCUUAGUAGCGGUGAGCGAAACGGGAAGAGCUCAAAUCUCCUUACCACUUUUAUGUCGAACCAAGUAUGCUAUCAGAGCGCACGUUUGCAAAGCGUGACUUGUGUUAAAAAUUAGCGUUGGGCAUAAAAGUGGUAAGGGGAGGUUAUAGCGCAACACUGUCUUUACGAGGAAGGUGUCGUAUUAAUAGCUGAAGCUUCUGGAAAGAAGCACCCGAGACGGUGAUAGUCCGGUAAGCGAAAUUAAUACAGCCUUCUUAGUGUUGUUGCUGAGUACCGCGAGACAUGAAUAGCUUGCGGAAAGUCGGCAGAACUAACUGCCAAAGCUAAAUAUUCGCAGAGAUCGAUAACGAACCAGUACCGUGAGGAAACGGUGAAAAGAACCCCGGCGAGGGGAGUGAAAUAGACCUUGAAACCGUAUGUCUACAAGCAGUAGGAACCCCUUACCACUUUUAUGCCCAGCCAUCUUUAGUCACCUAAUUACGCCUUACAGGCUUGAUUUAUGUGGCUUUUGGAUGGUGGAUAUAAAAGUGGUAAGGGGUGACUGCGUGCCUUUUGCACAAUGAGCCAACGAGUUUGUGUGCACGGCGCAUGCCUAAGCAGCUGACACUGUGGAGGCCAAGCGAAAGCGAGUAUGAACAGUGCGUCUCGGGCUCUGCCCGGUGUCGUGUGCGCAAGACCCGAAACCAAGCGAUCUACUCAUGGACAGGGUGAAUUUUCCGGAGACGGAAAAGGAGGCCCGAACCGCCAGGACCUGCAAAUCCUUCGGAUGAUCCGUGAGUCGCAGUGAAAAGCUAAUCGAGCUUGGUCAUAGCUGGUUCUUUCCGAAAUAGCUUUCGGGCUAGCGUUACGUGUUUGUGCUGGGGGUAGAGCACUGGAUGGUCCGGACAGGCCGAGAGGCCGCUGGACCAAUCAAACUCCGAAUACCGGCACCUCAUAACGUAGCAGUCAGACCGCGAGGGCGAAGCUUCGUCGGUCAAAAGGGAAACAGCCCAGACCCCAAGUUAAGGCCCCUAAAUCUACACUAAGUGCAUAUCAAAGGAAGUGGAGUUUCUUAAACAGCGAGGAGGUUGGCUUAGAAGCAGCCAUUCCUUUAAAGAUAGCGUAACAGCUCACUCGUCGAGAGACUUCGCGCCGAAGAUAACCGGGGCUAAGUGUAGUGCCGACACUGGGGACCUCCUUACCACUUUUAUGUCCAAUACCAUCUAGUCACUUAAUCACACUUUACAUGCUUGAUUUGUGUGACUUUAGUGUGGUGGGUAUAAAAGUGGUAAGGGGGUGUUAGGAAAGCGUUCUACACCGCGCUGAAGCGAAAGGGGUGACCCAUCGUGGAGCGUGUAGAAGCGAUACUGUUGGCACGAGUAACCGCAAUGCAGAUGAAAACUCUGCACGCCGAAAGAGUAAGGUUUCCGUAGCGAUGUCAAUCAGCUACGGGUUAGUCGGUCCUAAGGAGAUCUCGAAAGGGGCAUCCGAUGGACACACGGUCAAUAUUCCGUGACUUCUGUAUGUACGGAUGGAGUGACGAAGUUGUGUACGGUAGGCAUGCUACUGGAUGUGUGUCUGUCCAGUGAGGAGGGCGAUUAGGCAAAUCCGGUCGCCACUGCUCUAAGCCGGGCAGGAACAACCACCUUCGGGUGGUUGAAUCUACCGAAGCCAGCUUCCGAGAAAAGCUUCUACGGCUAAUACAUGCAGAAACCGUACCGCAAUACCAACACAGGUACUCAGGUCGAGUAGACCACGGCGAACGGGUGAUUGUUUCUCAAGGAAUUCGGCAAAAAAGCAGCCGUACGUUCGCAAUAAGGCUUCCCUGGUCGUGCCUCAUUGCAUUCGGCACGAAAUUUCCAAUUUUCAAUUCUCAAUUUUCAAACAAGACGUAGAUUGUUUUGUUUAGAAAUUAUAAAUUAGAAAUUGAAAAUUGGAGCGUCGAGUGUAGCGAGGUGCGACUGGGGCGCAGCGAAAGUAUCCCUAACGACUGUUUAUCAAAAACACAGGUCCCUGCGAAUUCGUAAGAAAACGUAUAGGGACUGAUGCCUGACCAAUGCCAGAAGGUCACGCACGACGGGUCAAUGCUUUGCAUUGGCUGGGUUGUGUAAGCCCUGGUGAAUGUCGGCCGUAACUAUAAAUUGACCGUUGUAGUUACGUAAAAAAAUUCUGCUAUAUGCGGGAAACCCUGGCUGGACGUUCAACGUCCGAAGUAUCCGGCACUACUCACAUGGCUGUCGACCAUGAAGUAACAAUGUGUCCGGUGCAGGCAAUCCGCAGGAAACACACUGGAGCCUAGUGGCUGGAAACUGGAGUCUAGAAAACUCAACCCCCCCCACUUCCUUCCUCCCCCUUUCUAGAGGGGAGAAACACAAAGAGGGGGUACAUCCAGACUCCAACAACAAGUCUCCAGCUUUCCAGUGUUGGAUCCUCAGAGACUAAUACGCAGAACACGUAACAGAUACACGCCAGCUGUUGCGUGAAGAGAGAGUCCGAUCUCUGUGGCGACACAGAGCAAACACGCUAUUUGCUGCCUUUUCUCAAAGAACGGUCCUAAGGUAGCGUAAUUCCUUGUCGGGUAAGUUCCGACGUGCAUGAAUGGCGUAACGAUUAGGGAACUGUCUCGAGAAACAGCCCGGUGAAAAUGCGAUACCGGUGAAAACGCCGGUUACCUGCAGCAGGACGAAAAGACCCUGGGAGCUUUACUGUAGUUAUCUAUUGGGGCUACGUCGUCUCGUGUACAGAAUAGGCGGGAGGCUUUGACCUGGGGGCGCUAGCCCUCAUCGAGCCGUCAGUGGAAUACCGCCCACGAGAGGCGUAGUUUCUAACCACGAUCUAUUCAACGAUCGUGAGACAGUGGGUAUCGGUCAGUUUUAGUGGGGCGCUAUCCUCCCAAAUUGUAACGGAGGAGUCUACGAAGGUCGGCUAGGCGUGGAUGGAAAUCAUGCCGAUAGUGUAAAGGCACAAGCCGGCUUGACUGCAAGACGGACGAGUCGAGCAGAUGGGAAACCAGAGCUUAGUGAACCGACGGCUUCCUUUAGAAGGAGCCCGAGACACCGGAUAAAAGUUACCCCAGGGAUAACAGGCUGGUUCCCCCUAAGCGUCCAGAGCGACGGGGGAGUUCGGCACCUCGAUGUCGGCUCGGCUUAUCCUGGAGCUGAAGCAGGUUCCAAGGGUUCGGCUGUUCGCCGAUUAAAAAGUCACGUGAGCUGGGUUCAGACCGUCGUAAGACAGGUUGGUCUAUAUCCGCUGUAGGCGUUGAUUCUUGCGGAGUGUUCUCCUUAGUACGAGAGGACCGGGAGGAACUAACCUCUGGUGGGCCGGCUGUCGCGCCAGCGGCACUGCCGGGUAGCUAUGUUGGGACUGGGUAACCGCUGAAAGCAUCUAAGCGGGAAACCAACUCCAAGAUCAGGAAUCAUUAAGACCCGUAGGAGACGACUACGUUGAUAGGCACUCGGUGUAAGCGCAGUAAUGCGUUUAGCCAUGGUGUACUAAUUCGUCG
rnacentral:rRNA from 1 species